rnacentral:snRNA from 1 species
UUGCUUUGGCAGCACAUGUGCUGGAAUUGGAGUGAUACAGAGAUUAGCGUAGCCCCUGUGCAAGGAUGACACGUGAGUUUGUGUAGUGUUCCAAAUUAAA